CAUGACAACCGUUCUUCAUCUGAGCUUCUACAAUAAGCGGAUUCCUUUCAGACUCCUCGAAAAGUCAGAAUACAGUAGAAUUGAAUCUCGGACUCCUCCAAUGUUUGACCUUCCAUAGUGUCCUCAAGACUCCUCCAAUAAACAAACCUCUACAAUGCCAUCCGAACUCCACUAUCGGACGACCCCCUGUCGGAUUCCGCAUGAAACUGGACCUCUCCAGUGGACAAUCUUCAGACAAGCUUCCACAUCAGACAAAUCUCAAACGGACUUCUCU
rnacentral:lncRNA from 1 species